ensembl:lncRNA
GAAGAACCUGGAUAUAGGAAAGUAUUUUUCAAAGAAACCUGCGACAGAAGAACCAACACAAAGCUCAGAGGUGAUACAAGAUCACAGGUGAAAUUGGAUGUUGACUUGUUGGUUCAUUACUGUAUUUGAAGCACAUGUGUGACUGCAUGUAUUUGGAAUGUCUCACUGUUAUUUAUCAGGUGACAGAGGCAGCUCUGCCAUGUUGUAGCUCGGACAGAGGUGAAGAGGCAAGGUCACAGUAUUCAUGCAGAUUCUGCUGGAAGACCCGUCUCUGCUAUGGGCCCAGGAAAAUGUUGAAGCUACGCCAGGGGAAAGUUUACCACCAGAAAAGUCGCAAAGUACAGCGUGUUCGGUGAGGACUAGCAUGCUAAGUU